rnacentral:rRNA from 1 species
AACGAACGCUGGCGGCAGGCCUAACACAUGCAAGUCGAGCGAGGACUUCGGUUCUAGCGGCGGACGGGUGAGUAACGCGUGGGAAUGUGCCCUUCUCUACGGAAUAGCCCUGGGAAACUGGGAGUAAUACCGUAUACGCCCUAUUGGGGAAAGAUUUAUCGGAGAAGGAUCAGCCCGCGUUGGAUAGGUAGUUGGUGGGGUAAUGGCCUACCAAGCCGACGAUCCAUAGCUGGUUUGAGAGGAUGAUCAGCCACACUGGGACUGAGACACGGCCCAGACUCCUACGGGAGGCAGCAGUGGGGAAUCUUAGACAAUGGGGGCAACCCUGAUCUAGCCAUGCCGCGUGAGUGAUGAAGGCCUUAGGGUUGUAAAGCUCUUUCAGCUGGGAAGAUAAUGACGGUACCAGCAGAAGAAGCCCCGGCUAACUCCGUG